CUUCAGUCUAGCAGCCGAGACCCAGUGUUCCUCCCCAAAGGCCAGCAUUUGGCCGAGGGUAGAAGGUCCUGGACCCACCACUCACUACCAUCCGACCUCACCAUAGAUGACAUCUGAUUAGCAGUAUGUCUGAAAUGUAAAAAGUCCACUGGAGAUUCCUCUCAAGCAUUUUUCCUAAAAUGAGAGAAGGACCAGGAGGAGUUGGAACAGAGUGCAGUUUGAAGGAGUUGAAGAAGAGGAGAGUUUGGAGAAGUGCCGUGGCUGGCUAGAACACCAAGAUCCUAGGUAAAGAGACACCCUACCUGUGCAGAAAGAGAGAGCACGAAGCCUCACAAGCUAAUGAGCAGGAGAGGGAAGUAGCCCAGGGAAGGAAGCACUAGUUCAAGUGGUUUACCACUAUCCCUAGGGCCCCUGGGCUGGGACCCGGGGUAGAGGGCGGGCCCAGGUCCCUCCCUCUCCGCUACCCUUCUCUGGGUUACUAGUGGGACAGUAGAUAGCCUAGUUCAGGGGCAGGAAACUGUGCCCUGAAGCCCCACCAAGAAGAGGAAGCACGGGACCCAUCAUAAUCGUACCGGCGAUUUGCCACAGAAAUUAGAAAGUUAUUUACAGGUUAAAGCAGGCAACAUAUAUACACAAAUGAGUUAGUCUAUUGUUCCAAAAAGUGACAGAGAUGUAGUAAUCUGUCAAUGCUGAAUGUCUUUUUAGGGCUAACCCAAGCUGACCCUGGGAAUAUCUGCCUUUUAUUUCUUAGCUACUGCCCUUACGAGAGUCCAAACAGCAAAGAGAGAACAAAUCAUCAUGUCAGCUAUCUUUAUUUUCCUUUUCCAUAAUUCAAACUGAUGGGACGAGCUUUCUCUCACAUAGCACUAAUUGGUGUAAGGGCCAUUAAACCAAUCUUUGUGUUGUGAUGUUCCACAAUGGCCCGCUUAGUCUUGAGAAUUCUUCUGGGUGGGCAGGGAAACCACUUUUCCUUCUUGGGUUCACAAGUUCAGAGCAGGCGUUUGUACAAUUAUAAAGCAAAACUUACAUAUUACUUUAAUGCAUGGGAUACAGACAUUACAAAUAAGUUCAAUGCAUGCAGCAACUUACAAGUAUUUCAUAGAGUCUAAACGCUAAAACACAUUCUUACAAGUUCAUCAAUGAACAAUAUUAACAUAUAGGUGAGCUGGUCUUGUUUCCAGCUAUGAAUUUGUCAGUGUUCAGCUAACGCCUACAGACUUGGCAAGAGCUGGCACGUGGUUUACCAGCGUCACAGACAUAUAUUAAUACACUUAUUGAAGUCCAUGUUAAAUAAGAUGAACAGUAUGGUGGGGCCCUAAGCAAUUGUUUCGUCUGCUUAUGCCUACCACCACCACUGCUCAUUACUCAGCAUCAUAGCAUCUCUUGAAAGGCAAUUAAUAUGAGCAACACUGGCUUUUUCAAGAUUUCUGCUGACAAAUGUUUCCUGCAUCAAAGUGCCAAAGUAUACAGUUGGUUCUCUGGGUACUUGCCAAAACAUGAAUCAGACGCAGAAAACACAGGGCAAGAGGAAGCACCAAAGCAAAGCAUUUUAUCUCGUCUUCCAGCUGCAUUUGCAAUAAUGGUCUUAAGCUUUAUUUAGUCAAGCAACAUCAUGAAUAACUGAAAACCAAGCUACAGGACUAUGGAUUGACUCAUUCAUGCAAAUGCUGUACUAUUCAUGUGUUUUGUCUCAGAGACACAAAUUCCAAUAACCACUACUUCACUCUCACCUGAAAAUCUCCCCGGCAGAGUCCCACAUUACAUUAUUUAAACUAUGGGCAAGAAAAAAUUCGAAGGAGGCAUAAUAAAACCUUGAACAUCUCUGUGUAAAGCUCUAUUCAAUUUGAAUUUCAAAAUCCACGUGGCAUGCUUCAGUGCCAGCUUCUGUAACCAGAGUUUAAUGAACACAUUCAGAGAGUAGCAUUUAAAAGAAAAUGCCAAGUGGUAUUUCCCCUUCAAUCUCCCAAAUACAAAACUAAUAGAGCUGCUGAAAUAUGUGAGCACAUUCUAAUUUACUGUAAAUGGGUAUUUUAUUUUUAUAGGUGCUUUGGUCACAUCCUCCCCUCCACUUUUAGGCAUGAUGGGGGAUGAAAGGUGCUCUCCUGCCAGCCAAAAGUAGCUGAUAAGCAUGUCCAGAGAAGAGAAUAGAGCCCUGGGUUCCUGGGUCAUCACUUCCUCCCCUCUCACCUGAAUCCAAGAAAGUCCCUCUGCUGGAUCACUGCUCAUGUGGAACUCUGAACAUAAGAACGGCUGUACUGGGUCAAACCAAAGGUCCAUCUAGCCCAGUAUCCUGUCUUCUGACAGUGGCCAAUGCCAGGUGCUUCAGAGGGAAUGAACAGAACAGGUAAUCAUUAAGUGAUCCAUCCCAGAUCACUCAUUUCCAGCUUCUGGCAAACAGAGGCUAAGGACACCAACCCUGUCUCAUCCUGACCGAAAUAUUGGUAUAGAGGGGUAUAGCUUGUUCAGGAAGGACAGGAAGGGAGAAAAGGGAGGAGGUGUUACAUUAUACACCAAGAAUAUAUACACUUGUCCUGACAUCCAUAAGGAGGUGAGAGGCAGACGAGUUGAAAGUCUCUGGGUGAAGAUAAAAGGGGAAAAAUAGGGAUGACAUCAUGGUAGGCAUCUACUAUAGACCAUCAAAUCAGCAGGAGGAGGUGAAUGAGGGAUUUCUAGAACAAAUAACCAAAAUAUCCAAAACACAAGACCUGGUAGUAAUGGGGGACUUUAACUACCCAGACAUCUGUUGGAAAAGUAAUAUGUCAAAAUGUCCAAUAAGGUCUUGGAAUAUGGAGACAGCUUCUUGUUUCAGAAUGUGGAGGAAGUAACUGGGACGGCGGGGGGGGGGGGGGGGUUGAGGAGGCAGCCAUUUUAGACUUGAUUCUAACUAACAUUCCACUAAUCCACUUGAACCAUCCUGCCUUGUCAAGAUACAGGAGUUUCUGUACAUUUUUUGUUACUGAAUCCAAACAAAGACAAUGAAAAUUUUUGCCUAGGUAAUGAUUGUAGGAUUAGGUAUGUGGAGGAGUCGUGUAUAUUUGCUUCCUUUUUUACCUUUAAUGACUCUAAGAAGAUAUAGAAAAUAGCUCCAUUUAAUUCAUCGGAAACCAAGGUUAAAUUUAGAAAAUUAUAAUUAAUUUUUAAAAAGCUGUGAACAUUUCUAGUCUCUCUCAUGCCUUCAUCUGAUGAAAAGAACUUCUUGUUAUCCUAAAAUGUGUCAGCAGCCAAGCCAAAAUGAGGCCAUUCCUUUAGUACUUCAAAAUAUUAUAUUUAAUUAUUAUUCACAAAAUAUUGUAAAUUUACAUAUUUCUAAAUUAAACAAAGGUAUAAUAAAGUUUCAAAAUAAGGCCCCAAUCCUGCACACUUACAUGUGGAAAAACUUAAGUAAAUGUUUGUAGGAUCAAGGACUAAAAUUAUAGUUUUCUUUUCACUGUAGAUUUAAACCAAACUUACAUUCCCAGAAGCAGCUACCAGUUAAUGUUUAUGCAGUCUCUAUUCCAAAGUGUCAUUUAAAAUGAACUUUAAACAGAUAAAUAAACACAAUUUACUAGUAUAUAACCACUUGAUUGCCAAACGAGGGUCAUAUUGCAAUACUUCCAUUGAAUUUUAUAUACAUAAAGACAACAUGAAGAAUUAAAUGUUAGGUAAUUUAUUUAGCCUACGGCUGUUCUGCAUUUUUGUAAAAGCGGUAAUCUAUAUCAAAGAAUGGGAAAUUUUAAUUUACGAUGCUGACUGCUCUGCUUAGCUCGCUUUGACGUAGAUUACUGCUUUUACAAAAAUGUAGACCAGCUGGAGGGUAAACAGAUCUUCUAUGUCUUAAUGUUUCAUGUUGAUCUUUAACUAUAUGCAAGGCAGCAUAAAGCCCAAAUUUCAAGUUAGGUGCCUAACUUUAGGCACCUAAAUUGUUAUUUAGAUACCUAAAUAUAUAGAUAACUUUAGGUAUCCAAGUUUAAAACUGGGGCCCUAAAUUACUAGAGUAUGAUUCUAAUUUAGUAUGGACCACAGAAAUAAAAGAGAUGGUUAAUGAAUUAAGCAUAUACUCUAUGGCUUUAUGGCCCCAAUUCCGGAAAGCAUUCCUAUUCACAACAACAUUUAAAGAAUGUCUCUAAUUUCAACGGGAUUUAACAACACGCUUAAACUUAGGGUAUGUCUACACUACAGUAAAAGACCUACGGCAUGGCCAUGGUUGGCCUGAGUCCACUGACUUGGAUUUGCAGGGCACAGGCUGUGGGGCUAUAAAAUUGUAGUGUAAAUGUUUGGGCCUGGGCUGGAACCUGGGCUCUGAGUCCUUUUAUGGGGAAGGGUCCCAGAUCUGGGCUCCAGUCCAAGCCUCAGUGUAUAUACUGCAACUUUAUAGCCCUUCAGCCCUGAGCCCUGUGAGCCCCAGUCAGGUGACCCAGGCUCUGAUACUUGGUGCCAUGUUUUUUUUUUAAAUCUCAAUGUAGACAUACCCAAGAGACCAGCCCAUGUUGCUUCAUUGCCUUUAAUGAGUCAGAAAGGAGAGAACUAUUAGGUAGAGCAGACUUCCUAGAUCCACAUAUGGAGGGAUUAUUUUCAUAUGAAUCCUUUCCACCACAUGGAUGGGGACUCAGCCACCUUCAUGGUUAUCAUCCCUGUCCUCUCUGGGCCGUAUAGAGACCUCUUCCCGAGAUGAGGGGAGAAGUAGUUGGGGUGGGCACAUUGGGGAAACAUAUCAAUGACCUACUAAUCUUAUGGGGAUUCCUGGAAAUGAUGAAAAAACCUGGGGACAUAUUAUUUCUUCUGUAGAGCAUCCCCCUAAAAUACCAGGGACCACUGUAGCCAGGGGGAAUUCUGAUAGCACAGAGCCAAUGGAACUGUGCUGCCCGGGAGCUGGGGGGACUGGGAGCCAGAACUGAGGUGCAGGCACAAUGUCUCAGUGCAGAUGGCCAUGAUCUCCCAAGUUUGGGAAAGGUUAAUGACCUGUUCACUGGUGGGGUAAAUCCCAUCCCCCUUGAGUUCCCUUAUGUUACCUCCCCACAGUUCCCUUCUGUGGGAUCUACUAUAGGAAGGGGUUAUCUGGGCCAUGAUGAUGAUUAUUUAUUUCAAUUGCUACAGUGCCCAGAAGCCCUUGUCUGGCUCAGGAUCCCUUGGCCUAGGAACUGUACAAACAUAUAGGAAUACAAGGUCCCUGCCCUGAGGAACUUAGAAUAGUUAGAAAAUCUAUGAUUAAAUGUACUUGACAAAACAUGAACAAUAUAACCAUUGUUUCCAUUUCUACUGGGGCAUCUUACCUCAUACUGACUACAGAGAUCAACACUAUCAUUGCCUUUCUAUUUAUGCUUUUGAAUUGUUUCCUCUUAUCACUGUGUUCUCAAAAACGUAAAAUAAAAAAUUAAAGACCAGAAGAAAAGUUGUUGGAUCAUAUUAAAGAAGUUCUGUAUUAAAAUCACAAAAAUUAAAAUAAAAAUUAAAAUUAAAAUGAGUUUGAUUCCCCAUAGUUUAAA